rnacentral:rRNA from 1 species
UUAUAUAAUAAUAGUUUAAUAAAAAUUAGUUAAAUUUUAUUUUAAGUUAUUAAUAUAUUAUAUUGGGGUAAUAAUAAAAUUUAAAUAAUUUUUGUUUAAUUUAACAAUUAUAGUUGAUUAAUUGAUCCAGUAUUAUUGAUUAUAAAGUUAAGUUACCUUAGGGAUAACAGCAUAAUGAUUUUUGAGAGUUCGUAUUGA